AAAUUGAAGAGUUUGAUCAUGGCUCAGAUUGAACGCUGGCGGCAGGCCUAACACAUGCAAGUCGAACGGUAGCACAGAGAGCUUGCUCUCGGGUGACGAGUGGCGGACGGGUGAGUAAUGUCUGGGAAACUGCCCGAUGGAGGGGGAUAACUACUGGAAACGGUAGCUAAUACCGCAUAACGUCGCAAGACCAAAGUGGGGGACCUUCGGGCCUCACACCAUCGGAUGUGCCCAGAUGGGAUUAGCUAGUAGGUGGGGUAACGGCUCACCUAGGCGACGAUCCCUAGCUGGUCUGAGAGGAUGACCAGCCACACUGGAACUGAGACACGGUCCAGACUCCUACGGGAGGCAGCAGUGGGGAAUAUUGCACAAUGGGCGCAAGCCUGAUGCAGCCAUGCCGCGUGUAUGAAGAAGGCCUUCGGGUUGUAAAGUACUUUCAGCGAGGAGGAAGGCGUUGUGGUUAAUAACCACAGCGAUUGACGUUACUCGCAGAAGAAGCACCGGCUAACUCCGUGCCAGCAGCCGCGGUAAUACGGAGGGUGCAAGCGUUAAUCGGAAUUACUGGGCGUAAAGCGCACGCAGGCGGUUUGUUAAGUCAGAUGUGAAAUCCCCGGGCUCAACCUGGGAACUGCAUUUGAAACUGGCAAGCUUGAGUCUCGUAGAGGGGGGUAGAAUUCCAGGUGUAGCGGUGAAAUGCGUAGAGAUCUGGAGGAAUACCGGUGGCGAAGGCGGCCCCCUGGACAAAGACUGACGCUCAGGUGCGAAAGCGUGGGGAGCAAACAGGAUUAGAUACCCUGGUAGUCCACGCCGUAAACGAUGUCUACUUGGAGGUUGUGCCCUUGAGGCGUGGCUUCCGGAGCUAACGCGUUAAGUAGACCGCCUGGGGAGUACGGCCGCAAGGUUAAAACUCAAAUGAAUUGACGGGGGCCCGCACAAGCGGUGGAGCAUGUGGUUUAAUUCGAUGCAACGCGAAGAACCUUACCUGGUCUUGACAUCCACGGAAGUUUUCAGAGAUGAGAAUGUGCCUUCGGGAACCGUGAGACAGGUGCUGCAUGGCUG
rnacentral:rRNA from 1 species